rnacentral:lncRNA from 1 species
GGCGACCAGAGUUGCUGGGCAGUCUUGGGUUUAGUGCCGCAAUGCUGCACUUCUGACAGGCUGCUUCCUGGAUCCCUGCAGGGACCUGGCCAGGGCAUUGGCCCCAGGUCACCUGUGGCUUUGGGGAGAGCAGUUGCAGGGCUGGCCUGGGCUGUGGGAGGCAGCUGUGCCGUUUUCUGACAGCCAUUGGGACCGCCCCAGUACCCGAAGAGGUGGCUGCCCUGAGUUGCCACGGGAAACUGCAGGGUGGCCCUGGCUCAGCAGCCAACCUUGGGGAGACCUGGAGGAACAGUGCAGUGUAAAGAUGGCCUCGCGCUGAGCGGGUCCCCGCAGUCGGCACUCCCAGGAGAACCAGCGGGCUGUGCAUGUGACCCGCCAGCCUGCACCGCGGGCACGUCCUUCCCACCCAGAGGACCCUGCACUGCCUUCAGGGCCACAGCAGUCCUCCGGGGCCCAGCCUCAGGCAGGAAACAGCAAAUGCUUUUGCUGCCAACCAAGUGUGGCUGUCGCUUUCGAUGAUGCCAGUGGCGCUGGUGCGACUGCCGGGCAGCAUGUGUGGGCGGGGAUGGCUCGGCCACUGACCGUCUCCCCGCAGUGGUGGUCCUGCUCCAUGAUGUCCGUGAUGUGAGCGUGGAGGAGGAGAAGGUCCGGUACUUCGGGAAAGGCUACAUGGUGGUGCUCCGGCUUGCGACGGGCUUCUCCCACCCCCUCACGCAGAGUGCAGUCAUGGGCCACCGCAGUGAUGUGGAAGCCAUCGCCAAGCUCAUCACCAGCUUCCUGGAGCUGCACUGCCUUGAGAGCCCCACAGAGCUGUCUCAGAGCAGCGACAGUGAGGCCGGUGACCCUGCAAGCCAGAGCUGACAGCCCCACUGUGCCUGAGCCCGUGCACCGCCCACAGGACCCAUGGCACAUUCCCGGUGUGCCUGAGCCCGUGCACCGCCCACAGGACCCGUGGCACAUUCCCGGUGUGCCUGAGCCCGUGCACCGCCCACAGGACCCGUGGCACAUUCCCGGUGUGCCUGAGCCCGUGCACCGCCCACAGGACCCGUGGCACAUUCCCGGUGUGCCUGAGCCCGUGCACCGCCCACAGGACCCGUGGCCUUGGCUUCAGUUGGUGCCUCCAGCCGAGUUGGCCUAUUGCCUGCUCAUGCUGCUGCUUGCACACUGCAUGAAACAGCAGGCCAGACCAGGACAUCCAGACUUUCUCCAUCGUGAGGCCUGGGCCUGCCUUUCUGCAGCCGGAGGUCUCGCCAGCCCUGGACUCCUGCUUUGGGCCACAGCAAGACCUCGGGCGAGUGGAGAGGCGGGGCCAGGCCGGGCCCUUGUGGGUGCUGAUGCUGCAUGUUGUCCCCGACACAGCGUCCUCUCCCUGGUGGACAUCCCCAGCGGUCAGGUGCUUCCCCAAGGGCAGUGAGGGGUGAACAUCCAGGGCCUACCUGGCUGUGCACGCUGCAGCCACACUGUGGAAGCUGCCCCUCCCCGAGGACCCGCCUCCCUUGCUGAUGCCAGGAUCUCGGCGCAUAGACCACUCUGCCCCAGCGGUCGUCACAGAAAGGUCUCUCUGUUCCUCACACUCAGCUUCAGCAUAAGCUGUGAGGCCAGAAAAAAGGUCAGCUCUUCUAGUAUCGUGCAGUGCUUAAAAACCGGGAGCUCCAGCCGGGCGCAGUGGUUCAUGCCAGUAAUCCCAGCACUUUCGGAGGCCGAGGUGGGAGGAUUGCUUGAGGCCAGGAGUUCAAGACCAGCCUGGGCAACACAGCAAGAUCCUGUCUUUGUAAAAAAACUAACCAAACAGGAAAAACUGGGAGAUUUUCUGCAGAAAUUGAGUUCCAGCCUCUCUCGAACCUGGGAAGACCUGGCAGGAGGGGGCUGGGCUCUCGGCUACAGACUUCUCCCCACCCCGUAGGAGCUGAACGCCAACCAUCCUGACCCGCCAGUGCUCUUGGUCUCCUGAGUGUACCCAGGUCCUCCCAGGUGCGGUGUGCACCGAGCGCGCCUGGCCUGAUGCCCUGGCCUGUGAGCUGGGGACUCCUGGGCCCUGUGAGCCCCUAGGCGGCAGGCCCAGGAAUGGCUGGGUAGGACAGGGAACACCUUUGCCCCACGUCUGGCUGUGACCUCGGUGAAAGCCGACAGGAGAGAGAUGGGACCCUCCUCCUCAGUAGUGGCUGCCAGUCCCUCGUUGCAGGACAGGGUCAUCAUAACCAUAAAUAACCCUUCACGUGUCA